AAGACCAUGACUAAGCUGCUUGGCCUCUGGUUGACUCACUUUUCUCAUAUGUAAAAGGGUGGCAGCAAUAACACCACUGUUACAGUAGGUAGCUAGGCAGACAUGAGCGGGGCAGGAGAGGCCCAACCUGCCCCAGGAAUGGUCAGAGGGUUGUUAACUGUGUCUCUAAAAUAAUAAUUGGUCACAGCCAGUGCCAGGGAAAAGCAGUCUCCCAAAGACAGAAACACUGAAACUGGUGACCAGCAGCUUCCCGAUGGGAUCUGUUUAAUUGACUCACAGUUCUGCAUGGCUGGGGAGGCCUCAGGAAACUUAGAAUCAUGGCAGAAGGGGAGGCAAGACAUGUCUUACAUGGCAGCAUGAGAGACAGUUAAGGGGGAACUGCCAAACACUUUUAAAACCACCAGAUAGGCUGGGCACAGUGGCUCCCGCUUGUAAUCUUAGCACUUUGGGAGGCCAAGGCGGGCAGAUCACUUGAGGUCAGGAGCUGGAGACCAGCCUGACCAGCGUGGUGAAACCCUAUCUCUACUAAAAAUACAAAAUUAGCUGGGCGUGGUGGCGCAUCCCUGUAAUCCCAGCUACUCGGGAGGUGGAGGCAGGAGAAUCGCUUGUACCCAGGAGGUGGAGGUUGCAGUGAGCGGAUAUUGUGCCAUUGCACUCCAGCUUGGGCAACAAGAGUGAAACUCUGUCUCAAAUAACCAUCCACUAGUUGCUCAAGUAAGAAAUCCCAGGAUUCUUUUGUUUUUUAUUUUUUUGAGACAGGGUCUUUCUCUGUUACCCAGGCUGGAGUGCAGUGGCAUGUUCCUAGCUCACUGAGCCUUGAACUCCCAGGCUCAAGUGAUCCUCCCACCUCAGCCUCCUGAUUAGCUGGGACUACAAGCACAUCCCACCUCACUCAGCGAUUAAACAUUUGUUUGGAUCCGUGUCCCCACCUAAAUCUCAUGUCCAACUGUAAUACCCAGUGUUGGAGGUGGGCCUGGCGGGAGGUGACUGGAUCGAUGGAGUGGAGUUCUCAUGAAUGAUUUAGCACCAACCUCUAGGUGCUGUUCUCAUGAGAGUGAGUAAGUUACUGCGAGAUCUGGUUGUUUAAAUGUGUGGCACCAUCUUGAGUUAAUUUUUGUAUAAGUUUACAUUAGCAAAGACUUGGAACCAACAGAAAUGCCCAUCAAUGAUAGAUGAGAUACAGAAAAUGUGGCACAUAGACACCAUGGAAUACUAUGCAGCCAUAAAAAACAAUGAGUUCACGUCCUGUGCAGGGACAUGGAUGAAGCAGGAAACCAUCAUUCUCAGCAAACUAACGCAGGAACAGAAAACCAAACACUGAAUGUUCUCACUCAGAAGUGAGAGUUGAACAAUGAGAACACAUGGACAUAGGGAGGGGAACAUCACACGCUGGGGCCUGUCAGGGGGUGGGGGAUGAGGGGAGGGAGAGCAUUAGGACAAAUACCUAAUGCAUGCGGGGCUUAAAACCUAGAUAAUGGGUUGAUAGGUGCAGCAAACCACCAUAGUACAUGUGUACCUAUGUAACAAAACCUGCACAUUUAGCACCUGUAUCCCAGAGCUUAAAGUAAAAUUAAAAAAAAAAAAUGCGUGGCACCUCCCUGUCCCUUCCUCCUGCCCCAACCAUGGGAAGUGCUUGCUCCUGCUUCACCUUCCACCACAAGUAAAAGCUCUCUGAGGCCUCCCCAGAAGCAGACACUGCCAUGCUUCCUGUGCAGCCCGUGGGACCGUGAGCCAAUGAAACCUCUUUUCUUUAGAAAUUACUCAGUCUCAGGUAUUUCUUCCUAGCAGUGUAAAAAUAGAUUAAUACAGAAAGUUGAAUCUGUAUUAGUCAGGGUUCUCCAGAGAGACAGAAUCAAUGGAUCUAUGAAAGGGAGUUUAUUAGAGAGAACUGGCUCACACAAUUACAAGGUGAAGUCCCAGGAUAGGCCAUUUGCAAGAUGGGGAAGAAAGAAGCCAGUAGUGGUUCAGUUGGAGUCCAAAAGCCUCAAAAUCAGGGAAACCAACAGUGUGGCCUUCAGUCUGUGGCCAAAGGCUCAAGAGCCCCCAGCAAACCACUGGUACAAGUACUAAAGUCCAAAGGCUAAAGAACCUGCAGUCUGACGUCCAAGGGCAGGAGGAGUGGGAGGGAGCAUCCAACAUGGGAGAAAGAAAGAAGCCAGGAGACCCAGCAAGCAAGGGCAUCCCACCUUCUUCCACCUGCCUUGUUCUGGUCAUACUGGCAACUGAUUGGAUGGUGCCCACACAUAUUGAGGGUAGGUAUUCCUCUCCCAACCCACAGACUCAUGUCUAUCUCCUCUGGCAACACCCUCACAGACACACCCAGAGACAAUACUUCCCUAGCCAUCUAAGCAUCCUUCAAUCCAAUCAAGUUGCCAUCUAAUAUUAACCAUCACAUAAUGUUUUCCAAUUUUGAUUUUGUAAAUAUCCCUCCCAUGGCUGAUUUUAAGCUACCAGUGAGAUGGGACUGAAUAAGGAUUUGGGAAGAGAUGUUUAUGGUCAUACUUUGUGAGCCAAUACCACCUGACUCCAGCUCAUGACAGAAUGGCAUACAUUCUACACUGUAGAACAUGCCUCUGAGUUAUUCCAUCUGAAGGACAUAAAUGCUUACUUACUUUUGGUGCAUAACAAAUUACCCCAAACUUAGCAGCUUAAGAUGACAAACACUUAUCUCACAAUUUCUGUGAGCCAAGAAUUUGGAAGUAGUUUAGCUGGGUGGUUCUGGCUCAGGUUCUCUUACAAUGUUACACUCAAGGUACCAGCCAGGGCUGCAUUUAUCUGAAGGUUUGAAUGGGGCUGGAGUAUGUGCCCCUACGUGGCUUUUGGUGGGAGGCCCCAGUUCCUUACCAGCUAUGGGCAGGAGGCCUCAGUUCCUCACCACAGGGGGCUGUCUAUAGAGCUGCUUGAGUCUCCUUACAACAUGGC
rnacentral:lncRNA from 1 species